rnacentral:rRNA from 1 species
AGCGAACGCUAGCGGCGGGCCUAACACAUGCAAGUCGAGCGGGGGAGCAAUCCCCAGCGGCGGACGGGUGAGUAACACGUAGGUUAUGUGCCCUUUGGUGGGGAAUAACCGUGGGAAACCAUGGCUAAUUCCGCAUAUCGAGCGAAAUCUUGAAAGCCUUCGGGCGCCAAAGGAGCAACCUGCGGCCCAUUAGCUUGUUGGUAGGGUAACGGCCUACCAAGGCGAUGAUGGGUAGCUGGUCUGAGAGGAUGAUCAGCCACACUGGAACUGAGACACGGUCCAGACUCCUACGGGAGGCAGCAGUGGGGAAUAUUGCGCAAUGGGCGAAAGCCUGACGCAGCCACGCCGCGUGAGUGAUGAAGGCCUUCGGGUCGGUAAAACUCUGUCGGGAGGGACGAAGGGGGCAACCCCGUACGGUACCGGUACCGUCGAACGAAAGGAACGACCGGACCGGUAACCUAA